GAUGAACGCUGGCGGCGUGCCUAAUACAUGCAAGUCGAACGAGGCCCUUUGUAUUCGUACGAAGGUGUCCUAGUGGCGAACGGGUGAGUAACGCGUUGGUGACCUACCCCAAAGUUUGGGAUAACCCCGCGAAAGCGGGGCUAAUACCGAAUGUGGUCAUCGGAUUUAGAAACCGAUGUCUAAAGGAUUUAUUCGCUUUGGGAGGGGCCUGCGUCCCAUCAGCUAGUUGGUAAGGUAACGGCUUACCAAGGCGACGACGGGUAGGGGACCUGAGAGGGUGGCCCCCCACAAUGGAACUGAAACACGGUCCAUACAUCUACGGAUGGCAGCAGUAGGGAAUAUUGCACAAUGGGCGAAAGCCUGAUGCAGCAACGCCGCGUGUGCGAAGAAGGCCUUCGGGUCGUAAAGCACUUUUCUGGGAGAUGAGAAAGGACAGUAUCCCAGGAAUAAGUCUCGGCUAACUACGUG
rnacentral:rRNA from 1 species